CAUGUGUCUGCAGGUCUCAUACAUGUGUCUGCAGGUCUCAUACAUGUGUCUGCAGGUCUCAUACAUGUGUCUGCAGGUCUCUUGCAUGUGUCUGCAGGUCUCAUGCAUGUGUCUGCAGGUCUCAUGCAUGUGUCUGCAGGUCUC